UACGUAGGGGGCGAGCGUUGUCCGGAGUUACUGGGCGUAAAGGGCAUGCAGGCGGUCAGACGCGUUUUGUGUGACAGCGGAGGGCUUCACUCUCCGAGCAUACGAAAGACGGUGUGACUUGAGGGCUCGAGAGGGACACGGAAUUCCCGGUGUAGCGGUGAAAUGCGUAGAGAUCGGGAGGAACACCAGAGGCGAAGGCGGCGACCUGGACAAGUACUGACACUCAACUACGAAAGCGUGGGGAGCAAACAGG
rnacentral:rRNA from 1 species